GGGAUUGUAGUUCAAUUGGUAGAGCACCUCCCUGUCAAGGCGGAAGCUGUGGGUUCUCACCAACUUUU